rnacentral:tRNA from 1 species
GGCUUUAAACACAUUUCGGUUGCAACCCGAGAGAUAAAAGAAGAUACUUUUGGAAGCCU